GGGGUUGUGGCUCAGUGGUAGAGUGCUCACCUAGCUCAUGUGAGGCCCUGGGUUCAAUCCUCAGCACCACA
rnacentral:tRNA from 1 species